rnacentral:misc_RNA from 1 species
UACGGAGGGUGCAAGCAUUAAUCGGAUUUACUGGGCGUAAAGGGUGCGUAGGCGGAUUGGCAAGUCAGAUGUGAAAUUCCGGUACUCAAUACCGGAGCUGCAUUUGAAACUACCUCUCUUAGAGUGUAGGCGGAGAAAACGGAAUUCCAUAUGUAGCGGUGGAAUGCGUAGAUAUAUGGAAGAACACCUGUGGCGAAAGCGGUUUUCUAGCUUACUACUGACGCUGAGGCACGAGAGCGUGGGGAGCAAACAGG